AUCGAACGCUGGCGGCAGGCCUAACACAUGCAAGUCGAACGAGUGGCGGACGGGUGAGUAAUGUCUGGGAAACUGCCUGAUGGAGGGGUCUAACUACUGGAAACGGUAGCUAAUACCGCAUAACAUAAGAUGUGCCCAGAUGGGAUUAGCUGGUUGGUGGGGUAACGGCUAACCAAGGCGACGAUCCCUAGCUGGGCUGAGAGGAUGACCGGCCACACUGGAACUGAGACACGGUCCAGACUCCUACGGGAGGCAGCAGUGGGGAAUAUUGCACAAUGGGCGCAAGACUGAUGCAGCCAUGCCGCGUGUAUGAAGAAGGCCUUCGGGUUGUAAAGUACUUUCAGCGGGGAGGCGUUACCCGCAGAGGAAGCACCGGCUAACUCCGUGCCAGCAGCCGCGGUAAUAC
rnacentral:rRNA from 1 species